rnacentral:rRNA from 1 species
CGGUUAAGUUAGAAAGGGCGCACGGUGGAUGCCUUGGCACUAGGAGCCGAUGAAGGACGGGACGAACACCGAUAUGCUUCGGGGAGCUGUAAGCAAGCUUUGAUCCGGAGAUUUCCGAAUGGGGAAACCCACCACUCGUAAUGGAGUGGUAUCCAUAUCUGAAUACAUAGGAUAUGAGAAGGCAGACCCGGGGAACUGAAACAUCUAAGUACCCGGAGGAAGAGAAAGCAAAUGCGAUUCCCUGAGUAGCGGCGAGCGAAACGGGACCAGCCCAAACCAAGAGGCUUGCCUCUUGGGGUUGUAGGACACUCUGUACGGAGUUACAAAGGAACGAGGUAGAUGAAGAGGUCUGGAAAGGCCCGCCAUAGGAGGUAACAGCCCUGUAGUCAAAACUUCGUUCUCUCCUGAGUGGAUCCUGAGUACGGCGGAACACGUGAAAUUCCGUCGGAAUCCGGGAGGACCAUCUCCCAAGGCUAAAUACUCCCUAGUGACCGAUAGUGAACCAGUACCGUGAGGGAAAGGUGAAAAGCACCCCGGAAGGGGAGUGGAAAGAGAUCCUGAAACCGUGUGCCUACAAGUAGUCAGAGGCCCGUUAACGGGUGAUGGCGUGCCUUUUGUAGAAUGAACCGGCGAGUUACGAUCCCGUGCAAGGUUAAGCAGAAGAUGCGGAGCCGCAGCGAAAGCGAGUCUGAAUAGGGCGAAUUGAGUACGUGGUCGUAGACCCGAAACCAGGUGAUCUACCCAUGUCCAGGGUGAAGUUCAGGUAACACUGAAUGGAGGCCCGAACCCACGCACGUUGAAAAGUGCGGGGAUGAGGUGUGGGUAGGGGUGAAAUGCCAAUCGAACCUGGAGAUAGCUGGUUCUCUCCGAAAUAGCUUUAGGGCUAGCCUCAAGGUAAGAGUCUCGGAGGUAGAGCACUGAUUGGACUAGGGGCCCCUACCGGGUUACCGAAUUCAGUCAAACUCCGAAUGCCGAUGACUUAUCCUUGGGAGUCAGACUGCGAGUGAUAAGAUCCGUAGUCGAAAGGGAAACAGCCCAGACCGCCAGCUAAGGUCCCAAAGUAUACGUUAAGUGGAAAAGGAUGUGGAGUUGCUUAGACAACCAGGAUGUUGGCUUAGAAGCAGCCACCAUUUAAAGAGUGCGUAAUAGCUCACUGGUCGAGUGACUCUGCGCCGAAAAUGUACCGGGGCUAAACGUAUCACCGAAGCUGCGGACUGUUCUUCGAACAGUGGUAGGAGAGCGUUCUAAGGGCUGUGAAGCAAGACCGGAAGGACUUGUGGAGCGCUUAGAAGUGAGAAUGCCGGUAUGAGUAGCGAAAGAGGGGUGAGAAUCCCCUCCACCGAAUGCCUAAGGUUUCCUGAGGAAGGCUCGUCCGCUCAGGGUUAGUCGGGACCUAAGCCGAGGCCGAAAGGCGUAGGCGAUGGAUAACAGGUUGAUAUUCCUGUACCACCUCCUCACCAUUUGAGCAAUGGGGGGACGCAGGAGGAUAGGGUAAGCGCGGUAUUGGAUAUCCGCGUCCAAGCAGUUAGGCUGGGAAAUAGGCAAAUCCGUUUCCCGUGAAGGCUGAGCUGUGAUGGCGAGCGAAUUAUAGUAGCGAAGUUCCUGAUUCCACACUGCCAAGAAAAGCCUCUAGCGAGGUGAGAGGUGCCCGUACCGCAAACCGACACAGGUAGGCGAGGAGAGAAUCCUAAGGUGAUCGAGAGAACUCUCGUUAAGGAACUCGGCAAAAUGACCCCGUAACUUCGGGAGAAGGGGUGCUCUGUUAGGGUGCAAGCCCGAGAGAGCCGCAGUGAAUAGGCCCAGGCGACUGUUUAGCAAAAACACAGGUCUCUGCGAAGCCGUAAGGCGAAGUAUAGGGGCUGACGCCUGCCCGGUGCUGGAAGGUUAAGAGGAGCGCUUAGCGUAAGCGAAGGUGCGAAUUGAAGCCCCAGUAAACGGCGGCCGUAACUAUAACGGUCCUAAGGUAGCGAAAUUCCUUGUCGGGUAAGUUCCGACCCGCACGAAAGGCGCAACGAUCUGGGCACUGUCUCAACGAGAGACUCGGUGAAAUUAUAGUACCUGUGAAGAUGCAGGUUACCCGCGACAGGACGGAAAGACCCCGUGGAGCUUUACUGCAGCCUGAUAUUGAAUGUUGGUACAGCUUGUACAGGAUAGGUAGGAGCCUUGGAAACCGGAGCGCCAGCUUCGGUGGAGGCAUCGGUGGGAUACUACCCUGGCUGUAUUGACCUUCUAACCCGCCGCCCUUAUCGGGCGGGGAGACAGUGUCAGGUGGGCAGUUUGACUGGGGCGGUCGCCUCCUAAAAGGUAACGGAGGCGCCCAAAGGUUCCCUCAGAAUGGUUGGAAAUCAUUCGCAGAGUGUAAAGGCACAAGGGAGCUUGACUGCGAGACCUACAAGUCGAGCAGGGACGAAAGUCGGGCUUAGUGAUCCGGUGGUUCCGCAUGGAAGGGCCAUCGCUCAACGGAUAAAAGCUACCCCGGGGAUAACAGGCUUAUCUCCCCCAAGAGUCCACAUCGACGGGGAGGUUUGGCACCUCGAUGUCGGCUCAUCGCAUCCUGGGGCUGUAGUCGGUCCCAAGGGUUGGGCUGUUCGCCCAUUAAAGCGGUACGCGAGCUGGGUUCAGAACGUCGUGAGACAGUUCGGUCCCUAUCCGUCGCGGGCGCAGGAAAUUUGAGAGGAGCUGUCCUUAGUACGAGAGGACCGGGAUGGACGCACCGCUGGUGUACCAGUUGUUCUGCCAAGGGCAUCGCUGGGUAGCUAUGUGCGGACGGGAUAAGUGCUGAAAGCAUCUAAGCAUGAAGCCCCCCUCAAGAUGAGAUUUCCCAUUCCGCAAGGAAGUAAGAUCCCUGAAAGAUGAUCAGGUUGAUAGGUCUGAGGUGGAAGUGUGGCGACACAUGGAGCUGACAGAUACUAAUCGAUCGAGGACUUAACCAAUUU